CAGAGUGGAGGGAGAGGAAAGGUGAGCCGAGGCCAACCGGCGACAUCAGGAUCCCCAGUGGAGCCGGGAACACGCAGUAUCGUUGUCCUCGCAUCAUGACCUCUGCCCCACACGGUGAGGUCUCGGGAGCGCGGGGUGUGGGAGCCCUUGGCCUUACUGCUAAGCUGCACACGUGUCCCAGGUCUGGGGGGAACGUGGCUCCUAACCUCAGCUCCCCCGAGGGGCGCGGGCCAUAGCGUCUCCUCCGAGGGCGGUUGGCACCGCAAGAGAAGCCACUGGAAGCUGGAAGAAUUUCCCACAGCUGGAGAGUCCCCAGCACGUGGCUGGGCUUGGGGAGGGGAGGCUGCAGCCACCGCCGGCAUCGGGCCCGGAGGAAAGUCAGGUCUGGGCCCCCGGGAGAUGCCUUAGCCAGGAUAGUCAGAAACGCAGAGCUUUGGUUCCAGUUCAGACCGACUGAAGACGCGUCUUUGUUUACAAAGAGCGUUUGUGUUUGUUUCCAUUUGGGCUUCGGCGGAGGAGGGUAGUGAAUUCCAGGGUCUGCUUCACGGAUCAGCUCCCCUCGAACACACGCACACCCUGCCCUCCAGUUGUGCCGCCUUCUGUGUGUCGGCUGCCGGCAGCCCGGGAAGGAGGGUGCCCCCAGCAGGCGGCAGCGGGAGUGGGGGGCUGCCCCCCACGGGAGCACCGGGGGUGAGAUGCUGCAGCCCACGGUUAUGGAGACGUCCAGGACGCCAGGCGCGUGGAUCAUCUCGUUUGCAGUUUUACAGCAACCUUAGAUACAAUAAUUAGCCCAUUUUACAAAUGCAAAUGGCAGUUCAGAGAGGUAAACACACACACACACACACACACACACACACACACACACACACAGGCAGAGCAGGAUUUGAACCCAGCUACCCCAGGGCCUACCCUGAACCAUCAUUGGUGGUCAUCCUGCCGCGGUACUGCCACCAGGGGCCUUGCCCCUCCCCUGAAAGAGGAUGUGGACUGAGAGGCAGGAGAGGCCUGCAGCCCCGGAGCUGGGUGACCUGUCAUGCCCCUCCCAGGAGACAGCUUGUCAGGGCUGCUUCCAUGAGGCGCCUGAGGCUGGAGCAGCAAGGACUCUGGGGAGGCGUCAUCUUCUCGCAUCCCCCAAAUCUGGCCAGCUGCAGAUGCAGGGAGCUCAGCCAGCCUCAGGCUGUGGAGGCAGAAGGCAGGAUGUCAGGCCCCGCAGCCUGGAAGGACACCUCACCUGCCUGCAAUCCUCUCUUGAUAAUUCUUCAUGAGAUCUCUGCCCUGAAGCUCCAGCAAAUCCCUGGGGUGCUGCCCAGCCACUGUCCCCUAAGCCUCCCUCCCACCCAGAGUGUGCCUCUGAAAGGAGGGUCUAGUCUUAGGGGAAGAAGCCAUCUUCACAGACACAAACACACCUUCCAGAAAUGCCAAGGUCAGAGCAAGGGAUCACAAAAACUGAUGACGUGAAGCAGUCAAGGCGAGUCCUGGGAAGUGAGGCUCCUGGGCAAGCUCUAAGCUAUGGGAACCCAUCAGCUCCUCACCAACCUGGGAAAGCUGCCUGGAGGAAGCCAGCUUUUGAGUGCUGAUGGGUAUCCCCAGAAGCUCCAAACUGCAUUCCCAGAGGCCUCUAGCUCCCAACAGCACCAUGGGCUCGCUGGCUCCCUCACGCCCCUGCACACCCCAUGAGGCCACAUACCUACCAUGAUGCCAGACGAGGGGGCAGGAGGAAGAGAUAAAGAGAAGCUUUGCAAAGGGAGGAGUGGAAAUACAGGCCACCUGGGGAACAGCCACCUCCAAACCUUCAAUUCUGUGGUCCCUGACCACAGCCUUGCCCCCACCCAGCUCCUUCCCCAGAAGCUGACCUUGCCUAAUGCAAAGAGAAUCAGGACAUAGCCCCCACCCCCCUAUACAGGCUUCCUGUCUUGCCUCCCGUGGUGGGCAGCGUGCAGAGCCCCCACAGCUUCACCACGCUCAGGGAUUUGUGCUGUAUCCCUUCUCCUCCCUCAGUGCUCCCAGCCAGCACGGCAUCGAGGCAGAGUACACCACCCCCCCCCAUGCGUCUCUAAUCCACCUCCUCUCCCCAGCUCAGGGCCUGAUCCUCUCUUUCCUAGACCACAGCAGUAUCUUUCUCCACCACGAAGGAUGCCCCUGGCUGCCAGAUACAAGAUGGCCAGCCAAUAGAGACUCAAUCAAGUAAUGUGGAAUCUUGGCUCUUUUUCACCUGUUGUGUGGAUUUGGGCAUUCUCUGUGCCCAAGUCACUUUGAUUCUCCGUGCAUCCAUUUCCUCCUUGUAAGACAAUAACCUACAGGUGUUACAUGUAUAGUAAUACACGUAUGAGUUCUUUAAUUUUCUUAUGAAAUUCUUAUGAGAAAUUAAACACCAUACAGUGACAUUCUUGGCACAGCCCUCAGUGUUGGCCACCACUACUCUGCAGUGGGCAGCCAGGAGGCAAAUCGCCCCAGCUCCAGCCAAGUCAGCCACUCAGUGAUGUCAGACUCGGGUCAGCCUGCCUUGAUUCUUGGGGCUCUCCCCUGAAGUGUCUAAGACAAUGGUCAUGGAUGCCGACAGCACAUUAUCACAAGGCAAAGUCUAAAGGCAAAUACCACUUACCUCAAUUUUCUCUUUUUAUCUGGAAGAAGCUUUUACCUGAAAAACCCUUCCUCAGGGGGAUUCCCUUGAGUUCCAUCAUCUAAUUAGGGUCACAUGCCCAUAUCUAGGCUGGGAAAGUGGGUGUCCAAUAUUUUUAGCCCUUUACCCAGAGGAUGGUUCUACCAGCAAGGAGAAGGAAGGCUGCCAUUCUGCUUACCUGCCCUUUGAUCUUUUUCCUCUCCAGCCCACUCGCCAUCCUGCCUCCAGAGUGAUCGACGUCAUGUCAGCUACUAAAUCAUUAAACAGGACAGAACAUUCUGCUGAACCCUCCCUCCGUCUGACCUCAAUCUUUUUCAAAAUCGACACCCUUUGGGUGUGGUCAUUCACCCCUGGAGAGACUGAAUGGGGACAAGGCCUGGCUCAAGGAUCCUCAUCAGCUUUGGGAGAAGAUGGCCAUCCACAGCCCAGCCUGCAGCCCUCGUGUCUAUGAAGCUAACUGCUCACCUCUCCAGAUGGACCUGCCUAGUCCAUCCUCCCUAACUCAGGCAGUUACUGGUUUGGAUAUCUGACAUCAAUUGGUCCAAUGAGAAUGAAGUUCAAGAACUGUGUUCAGUGUUCAGUGCUUCGGUUUUCGCAUCUGACUGAUGUAGCCUAGGAUUGGAGGUGGCCAUCUUGCAAACACAAGGGGAGCCAGCUGUAGGAUGAAGCCAAUCUCAUGGUAAUAAAACAGAGAUGAAAAGAAAUCAAGUCCUAAGUGACAUCCUUGGAUCUCUAGAUUAAACUGCCUGAAGCUCACUGCAUUGCUGGACAUUUCCAGAUACGAAGCCUAUAAAUUCCCUUUAUUGUUCAUAUUAUUUAUAACCCUGUUACUUGCAACUGAAACUGUCACUGCUACAUCUGGCUCAGGCCAGAUCCAUAGCCUAACACAGAACCCUGUACCAUCACUUGCUGUUUCUACUAGUGCCAUUUCACACUGGGCUCUGAUCUCCAGCCUGAGCAUGGCUCCUGGAGACAGUACUUCUCAGUGGGCUCCGAACCCUCAAGAUGGGAAACCAUCAGCAAGUCCAGAGCAAAGAAAUAGAUUCUCUCUCUUCCCUUUUGUGUUACAUUCUGGGAGAAGAUCUCAAAGCUCAUUGCUCUAUCCACAAAAUGGUUCAGCGUUAAUGAAGUGGAUAUUUUGCUUUAAUUAGCACUGCAGCUCUCUCCCAAGGGCAAGAUGUGAGUUCAUGGGACAUGGCCAAGGACAUAUUUAAGUGGUAGAUAGCACCCCAUAUUAUUAGACUCUCUUAGCCUCUCCAAGGCCAACCAGGAGCUUUCUAAUCUUAGAACACAUUCCUUCCCAGAAGGUCUCUGAGUCUCUUACUGAAACACACUUUGUUUUUUUAGACCAAUAUUGAUGUAUCAAUUAGUUUGUGCCAGUUUAGCCUGCAGUAACAAACAAUCCCCAAAUCUCAGUGGCUUGCAGUAACAGGAAUUUUCACAUUUUCAAUAUUAUAUUUGUAAAAUAGGCAUAAUGGUUCUAUAUGUAAGUUUAUUCAAGAUUCAUAACCCUCCCUUUCAUAUAAUGGUUGCUGUAUCCCACAGUUCUUUGUUUAAAUUAAUCUCUUGAUCAUUUGGCUUCCCUGACCAGGUAGUUUUUCAAGAAAUGCUUAAGAGUGCCAGUGUCUCAGCAUAUUUUCAUCUUUGUGAAUGACUGCUGCCUUUAGACUUGAGUAACAAUUUGCCUGAGCGAGAGCCUGUUAUGUCAUUCGUCUCUAAACUCUGUAGACAAUACUCCACUAACUUUUGCUACUGAAUGUUACUGGGGAUAAAUAAACCUCGGACCAACUGACACAGUUUUCUCCCUUGUGAGUGACUUGCU